UACGUAGGGUGCAAGCGUUGUCCGGAUUUAUUGGGUUUAAAGGGUGCGUAGGCGGGUUAAUAAGUUAGUGUUCAAAUAUGCCUGCUUAACAGGUAGCCGGGCAUUGAUACUGUUAAUCUUGAGUAAGUUUGGGGCUGGCGGAAUUUGUGGUGUAGCGGUGAAAUGCAUAGAUACCACAAGGAACACCGAUCGCGUAAGCAGCCAGCCAAGCCUUAACUGACGCUGAGGCACGAAAGCGUGGGUAGCAAACAGG
rnacentral:rRNA from 1 species